CAAGGGUCAAUGUAAGAGGUGCACAAUCUCUACAGGGCACAGAACUGGCUAAAUCCACCCUUCUGGGAAUGCUGGGCUCUGAAAAUGAUGCGUCAAAUGAAGCCUCAGUGCCAAGCUGCUCCUUGGCCUUCUGUUCCUCUUCAGCUCUUCAUUCUGGCCUAAUAGAAACCUUAUGAACCGGAACUUCUUCUACAAGGCUAACAAACCAAUCAAGAGCCUCAUUCCAGAAGUCCUGCCCUAUACCAGAGAAAAAGAAUGCUACGAGGGACUCAGAAGGUUCUGAACAGGCUUGGCUGGGUUUCCCACUUGGUCUGUUAACAAUAACUAACACCAUUCACUUUGGUAUCUUACUGUCUCUAUUUUAUUGAGUCUAAGUAUAAAAAUGGAUGUUCAAUCUGUGGCUAGGAGUCCUAGUAUGAACCUUGUGCCUGCAAAACUUUCAUUACAUCAGUGUCUUAGCCUUUCUCUUGUUAAACUGUAAUUUGUUGCAGUAAUUUGUUGUGACUACUGAGACUGACCGGCAUGAAGUGAUUGCCCACUCCUCCCUGCUGGAAAGAUAAUGCCAGGUCUCAGGUCUGUGGGGCUGUCUCAGGUCUAUAGGUUGUGCACUCAGUGAAUUGUAACUCAUUUCACUCAUUUUUCCUAUUGAGAAGAGUUGAUGUUAACAUUCAAGACUAUUGGAUUAAUUUACCCUUCUAAAUAGGACCACACAGUGUUGAUAUAUCCAUAGUACUGCCUGUCUUCCUCCAAACACCCCCUUUGUCAACAGAGCAGUUUUAUUCUAAUAAAAUGAUUGUCACUCAA